rnacentral:rRNA from 1 species
AUUGAACGCUGGCGGCAGGCCUAACACAUGCAAGUCGAGCGGAUGAGGGGUGCUUGCACCCUGAUUCAGCGGCGGACGGGUGAGUAAUGCCUAGGAAUCUGCCCGAUAGUGGGGGACAACGUUUCGAAAGGAACGCUAAUACCGCAUACGUCCUACGGGAGAAAGUGGGGGCUCUUCGGACCUCACGCUAUCAGAUGAGCCUAGGUCGGAUUAGCUAGUUGGUGGGGUAAAGGCUCACCAAGGCGACGAUCCGUAACUGGUCUGAGAGGAUGAUCAGUCACACUGGAACUGAGACACGGUCCAGGCUCCUACGGGAGGCAGCAGUGGGGAAUAUUGGACAAUGGGCGAAAGCCUGAUCCAGCCAUGCCGCGUGUGUGAAGAAGGUCUUCGGAUUGUAAAGCACUUUAAGUCGGGAGGAAGGGCUGCAGGUUAAUACCUUGCAGCCUUGACGUUACCGACAGAAUAAGCACCGGCUAACUUCGUGCCAGCCGCCGCCGUAA